rnacentral:rRNA from 1 species
UACGAAGGGGGCUAGCGUUGCUCGGAAUCACUGGGCGUAAAGGGUGCGUAGGCGGGUCUUUAAGUCAGGGGUGAAAUCCUGGAGCUCAACUCCAGAACUGCCUUUGAUACUGAGGAUCUUGAGUUCGGGAGAGGUGAGUGGAACUGCGAGUGUAGAGGUGAAAUUCGUAGAUAUUCGCAAGAACACCAGUGGCGAAGGCGGCUCUCUGGGACGGUACUGACGCUGAGACGCGAAAGCGUGAGGAGCGAACAGG